AGACCUAGACACCACUCCUCUCCACCAAACCACUUACCAACUAAUUGUUAUCUUAAUACUAACUUAAAUAUAUAAACUAAGAUAAACUAAAAAUAGGAUUAAAAUAAAAAACUAAAUAAAAAAAGAAACAGUUGGUCUAGCCUAAUUAAAACCAGUCGCUUGGCUGUUGGGUUUCCAAUGGGAAUAAGUUGGAAAUAUAAAAAUAAUUAUUACCUAAUAUCCUAUGAACUUUAAAUUUCAAAACAUUCUGUUAAAGAACUAAAUUAAAGAAAAGAAUUAAAUAAAAAAAUGGAAUAGUAACGUGGCCUUUCUCUUCAUCCUCUCCAUCUCACGAAUCCCUCUCACUCCUUCGCUCUCUCUCAUUCACUCUAACUCACGAAAACCACUCUCAAACGCUCUCCCUAUCUCACGAUUUACACCAAACCCUCAAUCGCGCUCACCUCUCUCAAUAAGAAACCUCUCAAUCGCG
rnacentral:lncRNA from 1 species